rnacentral:rRNA from 1 species
CCUCCGGGAAAUCUGAUAGCUCAACUAUUAGGGCUUUCGGGGGAUACUGCCAGACUGGAACCGGGAGAGGUAAGAGGUACUACAGGGGUAGGAGUGAAAUCUUGUAAUCCCUGUGGGACCACCUGUGGCGAAGGCGUCUUACCAGAACGGGUUCGACGGUGAGGGACGAAAGCUGGGGGCACGAACCGGAUUAGAUACCCGGGUAGUCCCAGCCGUAAACGAUGCUCGCUAGGUGUCAGGCAUGGCGCGACCGUGUCUGGUGCCGCAGGGAAGCCGUGAAGCGAGCCACCUGGGAAGUACGGCCGCAAGGCUGAAACUUAAAGGAAUUGGCGGGGGAGCACAACAACGGGUGGAGACCCUGCGGUUUAAUUGGACUCAACGCCGGACAACUCACCGGGGGCGACAGCAAUAUGUAGGCCAAGCUGAAGACUUUGCCUGAAUCGCUGAGAAGUGGUGCAUGG